GAUGAAGAACGUAGCGAAAUGCGAUAAGUAAUGUGAAUUGCAGAAUUCAGUGAAUCAUCGAAUCUUUGAACGCACAUUGCGCCCGUCAGUAUUCUGGCGGGCAUGCCUGUUCGAGCGUCAUUACGCCCCUCAAGUCCCCUGUGGACUUGGUGUUGGGGAUCGGCGAGGCUGGUUUUCCAGCACAGCCGUCCCUUAAAUUAAUUGGCGGUCUCGCCGUGGCCCUCCUCUGCGCAGUAGUAAAACACUCGCAACAGGAGCCCGGCGCGGUCCACUGCCGUAAAACCCCCCAACUUUUUAUAGUUGACCUCGAAUCAGGUAGGACUACCCGCUGAACAUAAGCAUAUCAAUAAGCGGAGGA
rnacentral:misc_RNA from 1 species